rnacentral:rRNA from 1 species
UACGGGGGGGGCUAGCGUUGCUCGGAAUGACUGGGCGUAAAGGGCGCGUAGGCGGUUCGUACAGUCAGGCGUGAAAUUCCCGGGCUUAACCUGGGGGCUGCGUUUGAUACGUGCGGGCUUGAGUUCGGAAGAGGGUCGUGGAAUUCCCAGUGUAGAGGUGAAAUUCGUAGAUAUUGGGAAGAACACCGGUGGCGAAGGCGGCGACCUGGUCCGAUACUGACGCUGAGGCGCGGAAAGCCAGGGGAGCAAACGGG